AUGGAGAAAGUCAAAGAACCCAAAGCAAAUUGGGACAGUGUUGCUCAUACAAUUUUUAUGAAUGCGUGCGUAGAGGAGGUUCGAGCAAAUAACCGCAAUGGUGGUUAUUUGUCGGACAUAGGACAAGCUAAUUUGCAUAAAAAGUUCAACGAACGCUCUGGAAGAAACUAUUCGACCCGGCAAAUAAAAAAUAGGUGGGGUGUAUGUAGAAGCGAGUACAACACAUGGAAGACAUUGAUCCAACAAGCAUCUGGCUUAGGAAGAGAUGCGCAUAUACACACUAUUGCAGCUACAAAUGAGUGGUGGGCAUUGGAGAUAAAGGCACAUCCAGAAGCUGCCAAGUUUCGCUAUGCUCCACUAGCGGAGGAGGAAAAAAUGUCAGAGGUUUUCGAUACUACUUGUGUCACAGAUGAGCAUGCGAGGGUGCCAACUCCCUCAUAUCAAGGUGAUCCCUCUCAAAUCAGUUUGGAGGAUGACUCAGGGUGUGAUAGUCAUGAAGGGCAAGUUACCCCUGUUCAAAAUCGAGCCAAGGGUGGGAAGAAGAGGGCGUGUCCUUAUUCGCCAAGUCCAAAGAUGAAUGACAAGUGA
rnacentral:rRNA from 1 species